AAUGAUUGAUUUUACUGUUCACUAUAAAAUAAUCACUUCAGCUUUUGUUAAGCUUACCUCUUAUUUUGGGAUGGUGAUUAUCUUUGAAUUCCAUGAUAAAUUUUCCUGCGUUCAAUGAAAAGGUAAGCUGUUUCAUAUGUAUCAUUCAUAAGAUCAGUAGAUAAUGGCUGAAUGUAUUGAAAUUGUGAAUUGUUAAUUGGUAACAUUAGCAAAAAUAUUCGUAACUUGUAUAUUACAUAUGGUAUGGUAUUGUUUUAGUUUCUUUCUUGGUGCAAUAGUUGUCCUUAUAUAUUUUUGUAACGCUCGCUAUUUUGUGUAAGAUAAUCAUAUUAUAAUCAUUUGAAGAGAUAUUUGUCAAAACAGUGAAUGUAAGAAUACAACCUCUUAUGAGAAACCAUAAAUGAAAGUGUCGUUUGACGACAUUUGUAAUCAUUUUUAUACAUAUUAUUUGACACUAUGAUAGUUCAAAAGUAAGUAUGUUGUGAAAGAAAAUAGUAAGUUGUAUGUAACUAAUAAAGAGUGAAUAAUAUAAGUCUAUGUCAAUACAUAUCCUAUAUUGUCAAAGAAUAUAUUCGAUUUAAUGGGGAAUUGAAUUUGUUUAUAGGGGAUGAAAUUGUUACGCAAUGAAAAAAUGAAUAACAUGUUAGUAGGAGUUAAAAGAUAGAAGGGAUAAACUUACAACUCCAUUACAGGUGGGUAGAACUGCCGAUGGUUUAUAGAAUCUGAAUAUGUCAAUUACAAGAGACACAAAAUUGGUAGUGACAACAAGAAAUAAGUUAGUACAAAGUCCUCAUGACAAUGCUUUAAGACAAAGUACACUUUAAUGGAGCUGUAUGUUUUCUAACUUAAUAGACGACAAUCAACACGCCUUCAAAAAUGCAGAUUUAUACAAUGCGAAAUAGGGAAAAUGUAAGCAUUUGUAAUAUUUGAUUAGUUAAUGGUCAUCUUGGCAAAUCAUAACUCUUUAAGCAAUCAAGUCAAGAUUGCUAACUUUCGAUGGGAUAUUCGGAAAAGUAAGAGACACUAUUGUAUAGUUGUAUGGGGUAUCAGAAGUGACUUCUACUGACAAUUGAUUGUGGCAAAGGUAGAUAUGAAUGGCCAAUUUUAAAAAAUAACAGAGGUUAUAAUGUUAGAAGCAAGAGCGAUUAAGAAGAACAGAUGAAUGGGAAGUGGCUACAACAUACAUUACCUGUAAUCUGAAAUAAUAUCCAAAUUUUCUAAGUUACUUGUGCUUCUGUUACUUUAAAUAAGUUUAGACCUGUAGUUCAAGUGUUAUAAGCAUUUUUUAUAUAUUAUUUCACCACACCGAUCCUCUUGAAGCACGGUACAAGUUUAAGUGAUUUUUAGUAAAAUUGACUAUUUGACAUAAAGUUGUGAUGUUAAUAGAGUUUAUGCAUAGGGGCAAGUCGACAUAUGGUUAGUCGAAUAGGUAAGUCUAUGUAUUAGAGAUAACAGCCAAAGCAAAAGCACAAAAGCAUUCAAAUGUAAUUAAAUAUAUUUUUUCAUUACAACUAAAAGCUAAAUUUCUUUUAGAACAGAGGCAGAUGUUGAUGGCAUUUCCCAGUGUAGUGAAGAUGUCAUAUGGUUUGUUGAAUCCUAUGUUGCUCGGACUCCUAAAAAAUAUCAAUGGAUGCAGGCUGGAUGUUCAUAAUAUUGUAUUUUUUUGAAAAGCUGUCACGUAUGUAGAAUCAAAAACGACGAGUAUGUGAAACUUAGGUUGAAGGUAAAUGGAACUGUAACGGGACAUGUUACAAGAAUGGAAUUUAUAAUAAUCAAAUUUUCAAACAAAGUAAUAAGUUGUAUAGAAGAGAUGUAACUUCAGCUACAUUCUGCAUAACUGAAAGUAUGCUCUUACUAAACCAUGUUCAACAAUUCUACAAAAACAAAGGACACAUAGAGUAGACAUACUUCUGAACCAAAAACGG
rnacentral:lncRNA from 1 species